CUUGCUCCUUGGGUGGCGAGUGGCGGACGGGUGAGGAAUACAUCGGAAUCUGCCUAUUUGUGGGGGAUAACGUAGGGAAACUUACGCUAAUACCGCAUACGACCUACGGGUGAAAGCGGAGGACCUUCGGGCUUCGCGCAGAUAGAUGAGCCGAUGUCGGAUUAGCUAGUUGGCGGGGUAAAGGCCCACCAAGGCGACGAUCCGUAGCUGGUCUGAGAGGAUGAUCAGCCACACUGGAACUGAGACACGGUCCAGACUCCUACGGGAGGCAGCAGUGGGGAAUAUUGGACAAUGGGCGCAAGCCUGAUCCAGCCAUGCCGCGUGGGUGAAGAAGGCCUUCGGGUUGUAAAGCCCUUUUGUUGGGAAAGAAAAGCAGCCGGUUAAUACCCGGUUGUUCUGACGGUACCCAAAGAAUAAGCACCGGCUAACUUCGUGCCAGCAGCCGCGGUAAUACGAAGGGUGCAAGCGUUACUCGGAAUUACUGGGCGUAAAGCGUGCGUAGGUGGUUUGUUAAGUCUGAUGUGAAAGCCCUGGGCUCAACCUGGGAAUUGCAUUGGAUACUGGCAGGCUAGAGUGCGGUAGAGGGUAGUGGAAUUCCCGGUGUAGCAGUGAAAUGCGUAGAGAUCGGG
rnacentral:rRNA from 1 species